rnacentral:rRNA from 1 species
AUGAACGCUGGCGGCGUGCCUAAUACAUGCAAGUCGAGCGAACAGACGAGGAGCUUGCUCCUCUGACGUUAGCGGCGGACGGGUGAGUAACACGUGGAUAACCUACCUAUAAGACUGGGAUAACUUCGGGAAACCGGAGCUAAUACCGGAUAAUAUAUUGAACCGCAUGGUUCAAUAGUGAAAGACGGUUUUGCUGUCACUUAUAGAUGGAUCCGCGCCGCAUUAGCUAGUUGGUAAGGUAACGGCUUACCAAGGCAACGAUGCGUAGCCGACCUGAGAGGGUGAUCGGCCACACUGGAACUGAGACACGGUCCAGACUCCUGCGGGAGGCAGCAGUAGGGAAUCUUCCGCAAUGGGCGAAAGCCUGACGGAGCAACGCCGCGUGAGUGAUGAAGGUCCUCGGAUCGUAAAACUCUGUUAUUAGGGAAGAACAAAUGUGUAAGUAACUAUGCACGUCUUGACGGUACCUAAUCAGAAAGCCACGGCUAACUACGUG